rnacentral:rRNA from 1 species
UACGUAGGGUGCAAGCGUUAAUCGGAAUUACUGGGCGUAAAGCGUGCGCAGGCGGUUUUGUAAGUCAGAUGUGAAAUCCCCGGGCUUAACCUGGGAACUGCGUUUGAAACUACAAGGCUAGAGUGUGGCAGAGGGGGGUGGAAUUCCACGUGUAGCAGUGAAAUGCGUAGAGAUGUGGAGGAACACUGAUGGCGAAGGCAGCCCCCUGGGUUAACACUGACGCUCAGGCACGAAAGCGUGGGGAGCAAACAGG